rnacentral:rRNA from 1 species
UAAAAGCGGUUGAUAAAAGUCGACCUCGUAAGGACAAUUGAAUGGCCGCGGUAACACUGACCGUGAUAAUGUAGCGUAAUCAAUAGCCAAUUAAUUGUUGGCCAGUAUGAAUGGUGCCACGAAGGCCCCACUGUCUUAAGGAAAUUCCCAGUGAAAUUGAAUUCGUAGUGAAGAUGCUACGUCCAAUUUGUUAGACGAAAAGACCCCGUUGAGCUUUACUGGGGCACUUACACGGCCCCGGCCUUCCAAACUAGGCUUACCAUGCCUAGGGGUCGGCCGAAUUUAAAUGGGUGGCUUAGAUUAUGUGGCAGCCCCCCGUCGGGGCAGAUGAAACCCCACUCCCCCAUGUCAAAGGGGCUAACCCCCCCCCCUUGGGGGGGGGACAGUGUAAGUAGGACAGUUUGGUUGGGGCGACCGCCUUUUAAAGAGUAACGAAGGUGCGCUUAAGGUGCGCAAAUAAUGACUGAAGCCUGACUGCGAGGGGGACACCCCGAGCAGACACCCCCAAGCCUGCCCUAAGGGCGGCGGUGGGGUGGGCCAUAGUGACCCGUUAAUUUAGAGUGGAAUAGUUAACGAUCAACGAAUAAAAGUUACCACGGGGAUAACAGCGUAAUAUCGUUAGAGAGUUCACAUCGACGACGAUGUUUGCGA